GUGACAAUUACCUUGCUAACAACAACAACAUUGCCCAUUCAAAAAAUCCUUGCUGAUAACACAAACAAGCCCUAGGUAAGGCAAUUCACACAUGUAAUGUGCUAAGAACCUGGUAUCUGAAUUCAAUCUCUUGUGACAGGUUGGAACUUCCUCAUGAAUUAAUUGUACCUCUGGCAUUAUCUUUUCCUCUGAUCUUUCUUUUAAAUUCAUUUUCUGCGCAAGACUACUGUAAGGCCAAUGACAGAGUGUUUGAGAGAGUCUUCUUUCCACUAGUAUUAAUAUCGCCACUUCUGAUUUUAGCUUUGUGUCCAUUUAACCCAUUUGUCUAGAGGUUGGCUGCUUUCCCUGUAUGGAAUGCAGAAGGACACUACUGACAGAAGAAGACAUAUAUUUCAUUGCAAGUAAGGUCCCCCUGUGUAUUAACUGUGGAUAGGCUUCUUUCCUCCAGCAAAACUUCCGAUCCCAGGCAAACUCAUCCAGGCCUUGAGAAGCAGGUAUCUGCAUCUGAAGCUGUGAAUCACCUUCCUGGCGCCAGCAAUCUGCAAAGCUGAGCAUGUCACAUCCUGCUCCUUCUGACACCUUGCGCCUUUGCUGCUGUGGAAAGUCACAUUUGGGCUCAGGCAGUGAAAUGUUCCAUAAUCAAGGGCCAGAAUGUCCCACAAGCUGCCUCCACGCCUUUCCUUCCAUAUGACGUGCCUGAUCUGCCUAAAGAAAUGCAAACAACACUCUAAGAAGGGUUCAUCUCUGGAAGAGCUGAGCUUCUAUAUUCAGGAUCCCAUUACUGUAUUACUAUCAUUAUCAUCAUCCCCAACUUUCCCUAGUACUGGAUUCAAAAUGGCUUACAACAUACACUCAGACCUCUAUAUCUGCAGAUUCUUUAACCAUGGAUUCAACCAUCCAUGGUUUGAAAACAUUCAUAAAAAUAUAAAUUCCAAAAAGCAAACCUUGAUUUUGCCAUUUUAUAUAAAGGAAACCAUUUUACUGUGCCACUGUAUUUAAUUGGACUUUAGUAUCCAUGGAUUUUGGUAUCCAUGAGGCAUCCUGGAACCUAAUCCCAGAGGGUGGGAAGGGCCCACCAAAACAAAUUGAACUGUAUUAAAAUACAGAGUCCUUGUACUGGAUAGGCCUAUAAUACAUUACUAAGAAAUAGGGUAGCCAAUUACAGUUCACAAGAGAGAAGAGGCAUCGACAAAAUAUUAGGUAGGUGCUGGCCUACAUAAUAAUGUAGGCAAGCACCCUACCUAAUAUUUUGUUGAUGCCUCUUCUCUUGCAUAUACUAAUGCCUCUUGCAUAUACUAAUCUAUAUGGAUAGAUGCACAUUUAAAAAUAAUAACUGUAAUUGAACUGGAAACACAAUACAGCUCAUGAUAGUGGGGAAGACUGUGAGCAGAUUACUUGUGUUUGCCCACUCUAGUCUGCUGCCCAGGUGCAAGCUGCUAGUAGGCAACGUUAUAGCCUCACCGCUCCUUCCCUUGGGCUUCUUUGUGUUUAAACUGGACUUAAAUUUGACAGCACUUAAAAAUAGCGGACAACUUAAAAAUACAGGACUGUCCCCUGACAGCCCUCUGAACAAUCAGGGACCAGGGCCAUCAUACUGAAAUGUUCAGUCAGAAGGAGGUGAAAGGUUUCCUGGAAGGCUACAGACAAUACUGAGCUUGAUAGACAAAUAUCCCUAGUAGUAUAAGGCAGUUUCUAUCAUCCAGGGUGAUCUCAUAUUACUAGGGUUUUGUCUACAAAAUACUUGAGCUCUAAUAAUCUCCCUCUCCCUCUGAUUCUUCCCUUCCCUUUAUAGAGCAGAAAUGGAUAGGCCCCAUCCUCACCAGAAAGAGACUGCAAUCCGAAAUUUGUCAUAGGAGAACCGAGAGUGGAGGAAGGAUGAAAAGAGGGUUAUUAUGAUGAAAGUAAACAAGGAAAGAAUAUACAUUUAACUUUAGGGUGACAUAGUGGUUUGAGUGUUGGACUGUGACUCUGGAGAUCAUGGUUUGCUUCCCUACUCAGCCAUGAAACCCACAUGCUCUCUGCCUCAGGGAAAGGCAAUGGAAAAGCUCCUCUGCAGAAAUCUUGCCAAGAACACCCCAUGAUACGACUCGAAGUCACACAACAACAAAGACAUAUUUAGCUUUAGCUAUCGAAUGAUGACCUUUGAUGACCGGAUAGGCAAACUGUUGUCAUUAGGGCUCACUUGCUACCCCCAUUUGGCAACGCUAACAAAACAAACACACCACCAAAUUUUAGCAACAUCACAAUAAACCUUAUUUUGUCCUUUCUCUUCCCAACUACAAAGUGGGGAGCUGUUUGAGGGCAUGAGAAGAGGGAUUCUGUGGUUCAAGAGGGAUGCACAAUAAAGAGACAGUUCUUGA